rnacentral:rRNA from 1 species
CCUACGGGUGGCUGCAGUGGGGAAUAUUGGACAAUGGGGGGAACCCUGAUCCAGCCAUGCCGCGUGUGUGAAGAAGGCCCUCGGGUUGUAAAGCACUUUCAGUGAGGAAGAACGCCUGGUGGUUAAUACCCAUCAGGAAAGACAUCACUCACAGAAGAAGCACCGGCUAACUCCGUGCCAGCAGCCGCGGUAAUACGGAGGGUGCGAGCGUUAAUCGGAAUUACUGGGCGUAAAGCGCGCGUAGGUGGCUUGAUAAGCCGGUUGUGAAAGCCCCGGGCUCAACCUGGGAAAGGCAUCCGGAACUGUCAAGCUAGAGUGCAGGAGAGGAAGGUAGAAUUCCCGGUGUAGCGGUGAAAUGCGUAGAGAUCGGGAGGAAUACCAGUGGCGAAGGCGGCCUUCUGGACUGACACUGACACUGAGGUGCGAAAGCGUGGGUAGCAAACAGGAUUAGAUACCCGGGUAGUC